CAAACCGACACAGGUGGUCAGGUAGAGAAUACCAAGGCGCUUGAGAGAACUCGGGUGAAGGAACUAGGCAAAAUGGUGCCGUAACUUCGGGAGAAGGCACGCUGGUGUGUAGGUGAAGUCCCUGCGGGUGGAGCUGAGACCAGUCGAAGAUACCAGCUGGCUGCAACUGUUUAUUAAAAACACAGCACUGUGCAAACACGAAAGUGGACGUAUACGGUGUGACGCCUGCCCGGUGCCGGAAGGUUAAUUGAUGGG
rnacentral:rRNA from 1 species